UUCAUAUUUAUGUUUCAUCAAGUACACAUAUGUAUAUCUAGAAAAAUCAUCAAUAAAAGUAAUGAAGUAUCUAUUUCUACCUUUAUUUAACAUGCUAUUUAAUUCACAUAUAUCUGUAUAAAUUAAUUCCAAGAUAUUAGAGGUCAUUUUCACACUUUGAUAUGACUUUUUAGUCAUUUUUUAUUCUACACAUGUUUUGAAUACAGUUUUGUCAUAUGAUACAUGUAUAGUAGCACAAGUAUCAUACCACCAUCCAGGAACCUUUUCCUUGAUUGCAUUUAUUUCGCUUACGGUGACCACGAUUUUAUCUUCUUGAAUGAAGUUCACUUUGCCCUUGGAAUUGUUUUGUUUUCGGUGUCUACAAUUUUUUGCAUAAUAUCCAGAUUUUUCUCACACAAAACACCAUCCUUUGGUCUUCUUUUUGGACUUGUUAAAGUUCCUCGAAGGCUUCCUCUUGUUGGAUUUUGUUGGCGGUUCAGAUUUUUCAACGCAUUAGCUUUGGAAGUUCCCUCAAAGGAGUUUUCACUCUUAUCACGCAAUCUGGAUUCUUCCUCGAUCCAAAGAUGCUUUUGCAAUUGUUUAAAGGAAUAAUCUUCGGAACUAUGCAUGAUCUUCUUCUGGUAGCCUUUCCAAGCCCCUGGGAGUUUAGCAAUUAUGGCUCCCACUUGAAAGGUCUCCUGGAUUUCAAUCUUUACCACUUUUAGUUUGUUGACAAUGACUUGCAAUUCGUGUACUUGGGGAAGAAGAGGGAUAUUAUCAAGGAAUUUAAAGUCGAAGUAUUUAGAAAUUAGAAACUUCUUGGUAACUUCCUCUUCCGCUUUGUACUUAUUCUCCAAUGCUUCCCAGAUUUCCUUUGCAGAAGUUGUGUUUGUGUAUAAGUCAUAUAAACAGUCUGACAAAGCAUUUAGUAUGUGACGGCGACAUAUCAAUUCAUCUUCUUGUCAUUUCUGUCUUUCAGCCUUGACUGCCUCGGUCUCUCCAUUUGUAGGUUCUAGUAGUGGAGCCAAUUCUGGAUCCAAAAUAUAGAAGAUCUUCAAUGCAGUAAAUAGAAAUUUCAACUUCUCUUGCCACCGCUUGAAGUUUGUACCAUCGAACCGAUCCAACCGCACCAAGUCUUGAUUCAUAAGUUUGAUGAUUGCCAUUGUAGUCCUGUUCUCCAUUUCGGGCAAAUAACGUUUAAGAUUGUUGUAAAUAUUGGAGGGAUGAAGAAGAAACAAAAAGGAAAUUCACAAUAAGUAUGGCAACAAUAAGAACAAAAUAAAAAAAUGUAACAACAAAUGUGAAGGCUUGAAUGUAGGAUCGCUGUCCUUAAACGUUAUUUGACCCCUCUCCAAUAUUUAUGAGAUGCUUAAGAGUAUUCCAGCAAAUGGUUUGAAGGAUUGUAACAAGCCUUGUAAAGAAUUUCACCAAAGCACAAAGUGAAAUUUUUUCAAAACUUGAAGAACACGAAAAUAGGAUAAAUAUGAAUAUAAACAAGGACUUGAUUGUUUUUUUGGAACAAAGUAUGGAUUAUGAGAUGUUUCAAUGUUUGUAAUGUAUUUGUUUUGAUCAUUCAUCACCUAUUUAUAGGCCUAAAUCAAUACAUCACGAAAUGGUCCAAAACAAGAUGAAAAGUGACAACUUUUAAUCCAAAAUGACUUCCAAGUUUCAAAUUGAAAAAUCAGCCAACAGCUAUUUUUUAACAUAUGCGCACGCAUAGUAUAAACCUUGCGUACGCAUAGUAAAAGUAAAAUUUAAUUCUAAUUUUGCCAAAACACAUUUCGUGUAUGCACAAAAAUAAAUUUUGCAUUUUUCAAUUUCUUUUGAUUCUACCAAUUCCACAAUUGAGCCCAACAAUUAGUCAACUAUUAUUCCAUUGAUUUUGAACAAAUAUUCAACACUUUCUUUCUAGAUUAAAUUAAAUAAUGCAUACAAAUUUUUUAACCUUCCAUCAACAUUGGCAUAUUUGGCAUCUAGUCUCCAUUUACCACACUAAUUUGUCCAAAAGUUUUUCGCCAAAAAUAUCAGACAAUUCAUGUUUUAUAAUUAAUGUCAAUGAUCAUUUUACUUUUCUAAUUUAUGAAACAAUAUGUUUCUGUAUGUUUUUUUGUUCUAUCUCAGCUUAAGGGCUUCAUUUUUUCAGAAGAUUGGCAUCUAAUGUAGAUUAUAUUCAAAUGGCUUGUUGUCGAUUUUAUCCCACAAGUGAGCAGAUCGUAACAAGUAGUAAAAUGGACCUUUUGAGUCCGGAUUAUCGUUCCCACGAGGAUUAUACUUUUAAUGUUCAAUUUAUUAUUUCUAACUUCUAUUUGACGAAAAUAAACAAAAACAAUGAUUAAAUGUGAUUUUUAUUCUAAAUACUUAAAAAUGCGAUUGGAUGCAAUGAAAAGUGAUUGAGAAUUCAAACAAUAUAUGGACGUUAGGGCGGAAUAAUUUCACCUAUUGGUCACCUUUACUUCAUAAAUCAAGAUUCAUAAAACCUAAAGUAGUGUUCGGUCGAAUUCUUCUAUUGUAUUCAACUUACCCCUUUCAAGUUCUCGUUGAGCCUAUUUAAUUAGUUCAAUUUCAUAUCUACAUGCAAAUUAAAUUUAAUUAAACGAAACAUUGGUUCUAAGAAUUCACACACGACCGCAACAAUCAAUAUACGUAUCUCGACACGUUAUAUUGAUUUACCGAAUUUUAACAUGUGGUCUAAACAAAUAAUCCGCAUUUCUAUGUCAUUAUUGUUCAUAAAUCAUCUAAUUAGUGAUCAAGUAAUUAAAUGUAUUAAGACCAACAUUAAAAUCAAAAAAUAAAAUAUAAAAGCACUAGAAUCUUAAUUCAACGAAAUAAAGGGUUCCAAACAAGUUACGUUGUUCGCCCUAAAAUCAAAUUUAGUUACGCAUAAUAAUGGAAGGAAAACACAAGUUUAUUAGGAAAUUCAUCACCGGUCAAUUGACGAAACGUAAAUAAUUUGCACGACUGAAUCUGUCGUCUUUUGCCGUGCUCCGUGUGUAUUCUCCCUUUCUGUCUCUCCAAAAUCAGCGCCUUCUAUGUUUGCAUAGUCCUAGCCGGCAGCUUCUUUAAUUCUGCUCUGUCUCUUUUGUAAUUCCAGCCACCGACCUCCCUCCCCAAAACUGCCGUGUGAAAUAUAUGUAUAUAUAAAAAUUAUUAUGGCAGUCGCAAUUUUUUGUUUUAUGCGUAUAUCUAUCUUCCAAUUCCCAAGAUGCUAACUUGUGUGAGAGAGAAUAUAAUUCAGGCCCCAAUUAAUUCUCGUCCUCUUCUCCUCUGCUGGUCCUUUUUUUUUUGUUGGUAUGUAUACAUAUAUUAUAUAUAAAAAAACCUAGAGCCACCAAAUUUGACUAACAAAAGGACUCUAAUUUUUUUCCAUAAAACUCCCCAGCGUGAAUUCAUGUAUAUUCCCCUUUACAGCCACCAUAAUUGUCUCUAAUUCAAACCCUUUAAUGUAAUAUUACCCAUCAAGUCCUCAAUCUUUCAAUAUAAUGCAA
rnacentral:lncRNA from 1 species